AGCGAACGCUGGCGGCAGGCCUAACACAUGCAAGUCGAACGAACUCUUCGGAGUUAGUGGCGGACGGGUGAGUAACACGUGGGAACGUGCCUUUUGGUUCGGAAUAACUCAGGGACACUUGUGCUAAUACCGAAUGUGCCCUUCGGGGGAAAGAUUUAUCGCCAUUAGAGCGGCCCGCGUCGGAUUAGCUAGUUGGUGAGGUAACGGCUCACCAAGGCGACGAUCAGUAGCUGGUCUGAGAGGAUGACCAGCCACACUGGGACUGAGACACGGCCCAGACUCCUACGGGAGGCAGCAGUGGGGAAUCUUGCGCAAUGGGCGAAAGCCUGACGCAGCCAUGCCGCGUGAAUGAUGAAGGUCUUAGGAUUGUAAAAUUCUUUCACCGGGGACGAUAAUGACGGUACCCGGAGAAGAAGCCCCGGCUAACUUCGUG
rnacentral:rRNA from 1 species